rnacentral:misc_RNA from 1 species
GAAAGGAAGUGUUUGUGUGCUGAAAGGUCGACUCUUUCCUUUCUCGCGCUUCACCCACCCACGCACGUACCCCCUUCCCUACCCCUUGCACACUCUGUCCCGCCACAACUUUUCUCCUACCUUACGCCCGCUGCGUCACUCCCAUAGGGCCUCCCUGUGCACCGGGCAACCAAAAAGGAGGGAGGCGUGUCACGCACAGACAGAGACGUGCCCUCUUCCCUCUCCCUUCCACCCCCCUCCCUCCCGCCCUCACUCUUCUGGCGAACAGGACUCUUAUAUUUCGCGCGUCCGUGGUGCAUCCGCGCCUUUUUCGUGUGCGUUAUUCACUUUACUGUCGCGCGUGUUGGGUUUGUCUCUGCCGCCACCACCGCCACCGUCACCGCCACCGCAGCGGCUCUUCGAUCCAAAUCAGCGCGAGCACAGAGACGGAGGCGGAGACGAGCCGGGCGACAGACAAACGUCACGGCGACAAGGCACAAGAGAAGGAAACUCAGGCAACGAAACAAAUCGCGCGUGCCGUCAUUCGAAGGAACGGACGGAAGCCCACGCACAGACACACAUUUUUAUGGUAGAGAACGACGCACCUGUCAUUGAUAUUAACAUAAGUAUAUACAUAGUUAUAUAGUGCUCUGUGCUCGUUGUGUUGCGCUCGUCUGUGGUUGGUUUGAUUUGGUUCGUAAGGCAUCUUUUUUUUUGGGUUUGCUCUCUCUCUCUUCGGCUUGUUCGUGUUGCGGUUGUUGCUCUUUUUCUCUUAGCGAGCUCAUCCUCGCCAUUGCUGUGUGUGUGUGUGUGUGUGUGUGUGUGUGUGUGUGUGCGCCGGCGUCUGGAUAGUCAACGCGCCGCAAGUUGCAGGCCUGGCCCUCGUCUCCUCGGUGGUGGUGGUGGUGGUCUACCCAUUGUAUUGCCGUAUCCUCUUUCUUCUUCGCUGUGCGCGUCUGGACGCCGCUCCGUUUCUUUUCGUUGUUUUCCUCUCCGUGUGUGAGUGUAUAUACAUAUAUACACACAUAUGCAUACAUACAGCAGCAGCAGCCACCCAUACCUGGUGCACUCAUUUUUUUUGGGUUCGCUUGUGUUUUCUCAUUUGCGUGUCUUCCACUUGGCAAGGCGGCGGUUGGGAAGGUGCCGAACCGGAGAAAGAGGCCCCAUUUCUUUUUAGCUGGUUCAAAGAACCAAAGAGAGCAGCGUACGCGCUGCCAGCACCUUCGCGCGCUCUUCAUUCGCCCUGUGUGUCGCCUGCCACCCACCUACCCCCACCUACACCUACCCCUCUACCAUCCCCUUCUGUCGUUUGAACUACUCGUGCAUCUCGUUCUUCUUUCGUGAGGUUGUCGCACCUCUACCUGGCUAGCCAGCUAUCCCUCUCUCCCUCUUGACGGUGACUAACACCGCCGUCGCUGGCCUUGCAUCUUCUCUGUUUCUUCUUGUCCUCCCCUCCCCUCCCCUCCCCUCCCCCUACCCUUUGUUUGGAUCACAUCCACGAGCGCUCAUAUCACCGGCCCCACCGGCCCACCUGCCACAGGCUUCCCUCCCCCUCCCCUCUCCCCUCUCUCCUCCACUGCCGCCAUCACCCAUCUUCUCACCUUCUUCUUUAUUUGCUUUUCGGCAG